GAACAGUCCUUGUUGUGGGGUUGUAAGAGGCACCUGUCUGGGGAUCUUGCAAACCAGCUCUAUGCUCCUGAAUGCUGUCCACCCUCCUGGAGACUCUUGCCUUCAGGUGGGAUCUGAGCUACGUGAAUGGCAUUUCUUCUUCUAACUGCUUUGUUGUUGUUGUUGUUGUUGCUGUUGUUGUUAUUGUUGUUGCUCUUCUAAUAUAUUUAUAAGGCUCCUGAAGCAAUUCCAGAUGUAGAGAAAAUUGCUCUGUCCUUUUUUCCUUCCUGGGACUGUCCAUUUAUAACAAGGUCAUCAUGUAUACCUGUAUAUACAUACACUCCAUCCAUCGGAACAGGACUACAUCCUUCUCUCAUUUGAUCACUCUCAACUCCCAAGUUACUAUCAAGUAUCAUCAAAGUAUUAUAAGGCCUCUGGCCAGCAAGCAUUAUACCCACCUGUCUCUGGACCAUCUUUGACAAAAAAACAAAAACAAAAACAAAAAACAAAACAACAAAAAAAAAAAACAAAAAAAAUCAAACACCUCAUCAUCUAUCAAUAGUCAUAGAGUUUUGAAAGUAGUCUCUUAGCAAUAAGACUUUUAGAGAUCACUCCCAUCCCUCAAAGAGGUAACUUUUCAGUAUUUACUACUUAUUCCAGAAUUCCGAGAGUGUCAGUCCCCAAAUAAAGUCAGCUAUCACUGAAAUCUGCUGCGUAACUGUUAACCCUUCCCUGAGAUUUUGAGAAUCAUAGCACUGAUGAUAAUGAAGAUUAUAAAGGUCUUAGAUUCUUUGAAGCUUAAAUUGUGUGCAUAUUGCAUAUUUAUAUAAAUACUAUUAAUGAUGUGUAUUGAUUAUAUAUAGAGGUCAUUUUAAGGUGCUUUUUAUUUAAUUUUAAUAAGUAUAAUAGGCACUAAAAUGAAACUCAACUGGGUACUAUCAUGGAAACAAUUUGAUUCAUUUGCAUGCUCUUGCGUUCUUUUCCUAUCUUGUUUCUGUUACCAGUUCAGUACUGUCUGGGUAGCUCUGAAUUCUGGCUUUUCCCAGGCAAACUCUUCAAUUAUCCAAGUGAGGUAGACCCUCAGCAGUUUUUGCCUGGAUAUAAUGACACUAAAAAGGUGUAUAUUUAACUCUUCUUUUUCAUACUAGAUCUGUACCUUUGUAUCCCCUGCCCCCACCAUGUCCCCUGCAAACCAGAAACUACAUUUUGUUUCCUCUGGAAAGACUUCUCACUGUGCUGUGUGCUUAGGAACUUCGAGGUCCCAUUGCCAUGCUGUGGCAUUCGUGACUCGUCGUCACCAAGGGGCUGGUUUCCCAUGUUGUCAUCUUUGCUAACACUGGGAUCUCAGAUGUUUGCCGAACAUUUAUAUUCAUGAUGGUUCUUUAAAGAAGGGCUAGAACAAUUGCCUUCUACCUAGAGCAAACUAAUCCUAACUGAUGAAGUCAACACUUAACUUUUCCUACAUUCCCAGAUUUGAGCCAGAAAAUAGCUACAAUGUUUUCAACUAGUGUUUCUGAGCUAGCUCUUUUAUCCUCUUCUUAGCUCUUGUCGGUUCUGACUUUCCCUUGAUCCUCAAUAAGCUAUAAGUGAAUCUACAAUCCCAUGCAUUCUCUUCCUGCUCACAGAUGGGGGCAGUAACAUUUUCUCUCAGAUCUAAUAAUGAGCCCUCUCUUAGCUUUUAACUGUCACUUCCCCUUCUGGUUGGUCAUUCAGUGGCCUCAAAAAGAUGUCAUCCACUGCAGGAAGGAGUUGACUGAGAGUCACAAAACCCCCACAUUUUCUUUAGGAGGGGGAAUUGGUGAUAUCCAUGUUCUGUUAUCUGUGCUGACAUCCUAAAGGACACAAAGGUUGAAUUGAAGGCUUAUGAAGUUCUUUGUGUUAGGAAGCUAUUGCUGAUCACCUUUCAAAAAGAACCUUGGUUUCACUGUCUCUCUAAUUUGACUUCACUAUCAUCUUUUUCUUUUCUGAAGUUCUAAGUAAACUUUAACUGAUCUUUGUUCAGUCUUAACUUGGACUCUAUCCAGAGCCCAAAACCAGAAAAGAGUGCCCUAUGCCAAGAAGUUUAAGUGAGCUAUCUCUGCAGCAGCACUUCUCAGCCAAGGGCAGUUUUGUCCACCAGGACACAUUUGACAAUGUCUGCAGACAUUUGGUUGUGAUGGGCUGCUCCCAGCAUCUAGUGGGUAGAGGCCAGGGAUGUUGCUAGGCAACCUCCAGAGUGUUCCGGCCCAUUACUAGUACCAAGGUUAAAAAGUACUGCCUGAGACCAUUCCAGGCCAACCACUCUGCAGAAUUUGCCUUCUGGCCUUGGCCUUUCCAGGCUCCAUAACUGCAAGAGUGAAUUCCUCAACAUUGUAUUCUCUUUAAGAAUCCUCUACCACUGUUCUCAAAUCCUUACUAUCCUAUUGUUUGUUUCCAUUGUCUUGGACCUGCUAAAAGGUGCAUACUUUGGGAGGAAACCAGAGUUACUUUAUAUAUGUUUGAGAACUUAAAUUCUAGGUUAGCAUCCUUAGAAGAUCUUUCUUAGCCGUGAGGCUUAUAUUUAGAAGCAAGCAGCAGCCUGGCAGAUUGGCAUGAUUUUUACCAACUGCUCAAAGGCAUCAUAGCUUUCAGCUGUGUCUACGGAAAGAAAAUGUCUUUGUUUUUUUUAUUCAAGUCGUUUAAUAGCUCUUUAAAAAUAUUAGCAUAUGGCAGACUGAUUAGAAGCAAAACUCUUUCUUGGUGGUUGUGAUGUGGCUAUUCUAGAAGUAUUGUGCUGUAUGCUUUGGUUAAAUCUGUUUUAAAACAUGCUUUAAGACUCACCAUAUGCAGUUGUAUACUUUAAUUCUAAGUAAACCUAUCCUGGUCAGUCUCUAGUCAUGCUGUGUAUUAUAAAAGUAUGUUGUGGUUGUAGAGUUAGCCAGUUUAGCAUGUUCCUAAUCAGAAAAUUAGUGGACUCCACUAGGAAAUGCUAUCCCAUUUUCCCUUCCCAGUACCUCUUAGUUGAUAUCAUAGUAUCCUCACUUAAACUAGUCUUUAGAGUAAAUAAGGAAAAAAAGCCAUUUAUUUUCUUCUAGCCAUGUAUUGAGAGUAACUCAUAUGUGUAUAAUUUUUUCAAAGGCCAGAGGAUUACUUCUCCAGCGUGUAGAAGGCUGUGUCCAUUCUGCUCACCUAGGUUUCAGUGGUCACAGAACUUUUGGCAAGGAUGCUACGUAGCUCAUUGGAAGUCACUGCUGGGGCUCAGCUGGGAUUCAGCAAAACUGCAUAUCGCUUGUGCUCAGAACCUGUGUUCUGGAUGACAUUGCUUUUUCAUUUGGGCGUUCGUUGCCUACUGUAUUGGAGUGGGUUAUUGAACCCCACAAUGUGGGUACAUAUGAAGACCCACAGAUGCCUACUUCUGUGAACUGGGACUAUGAUAGGUUUCACUACUCCAAGUCGGAAAGCAGUGGGAUAUUUAUUUCCUUGCCUCCUUUAAGUUCAUCACCAGUAAAAGUUCCUUAAAGCUCACUUAGGGCUUAAGAAAUAACAGUCCUGGUUUCUUUAAAAGAGAUUGUAGACAAGACAGUACAAAUGUCACUCAUCCCCAGGACUGGAAUCUUAAGGAGAAGGCCCCUACUGAAUUGUAAAAGGCCAGAUUACCAGGAAAAUAAACAGACAAACACAUCCAGACUUGUAAACAGUUGUGGUUUCCUCUUUUGCUUCUUGACCGGCUGAAGUCUAGAAUAUCUUAAGGGUCUGGUUCAACUGAUUAAAAAAGUCAAUCUUAGAAGCCAUGUGUGAGGAGCCAUGCAGGAAAGGGAAAGCCCUGGAUCUGUUUGCAUACACUUGAAGGGAAAAGCCAAGUGGCUAGGAAACUCUGGACCUAUUGCCCAUGCGAUUCUUUUCUUUUCUUUUCUUUUCUUUUUAUUUUAGAUUUAAUAUACUAUACAAGAUGGUAGACUUUGUGCAGACCAGUUUCUUACAUAAACCAUUGUUGCCCACAGUGGUUUGUUCAUUCAUCAUCAUUUGGCCUGGUCCCUACUCCACUUUUUUCCUCUCUGGGCAUGACCCACCUUUCUUUCUAUUUGCUGUAGGCUGUUAAAUACGAUCCUGACCUGCCUUGUAUUUUCAUUCAACUGUUUGCUCCCACAUUUAAGGGAGGGUUGUCUCUUGUUUUGCC
rnacentral:lncRNA from 1 species